rnacentral:rRNA from 1 species
CAGUCGCCGCGGGAAUACGUAGGGUGCAAGCGUUAAUUGGAAUUACUGGGCGUAAAGCGUGCGCAGGCGGUUAUAUAAGACAGAUGUGAAAUCCCCGGGCUCAACCUGGGAACUGCAUUUGUGACUGUAUAGCUAGAGUACGGCAGAGGGGGAUGGAAUUCCGCGUGUAGCAGUGAAAUGCGUAGAUAUGCGGAGGAACACCGAUGGCGAAGGCAAUCCCCUGGGCCUGUACUGACGCUCAUGCACGAAAGCGUGGGGAGCAAACAGGAUUAGAUACCCGAGUAGUCCCUGUCUCUUAUAC